rnacentral:rRNA from 1 species
UACAGAGGUGGCAAGCGUUGUUCGGAAUUACUGGGCGUAAAGCGAGUGUAGGCGGUCUGCUAAGUCGGGUGUGAAAGCCCUGGGCUCAACCCAGGAAGUGCACUCGAAACUGGCAGGCUAGAGUACUGGAGAGGUUGGUGGAAUUCUCGGUGUAGAGGUGAAAUUCGUAGAUAUCUGGAGGAACACCGGUGGCGAAGGCGGCAUCCUGGACCAACACUGACGCUGAGGAGCGAAAGCCAGGGGAGCAAACGGG